rnacentral:rRNA from 1 species
UACGGAGGGUGCAAGCAUUAAUCGGAUUUACUGGGCGUAAAGGGCGCGUAGGCGGGUUUGUAAGUCAAGUGUGAAAUUCCGGAGCUCAACUCCGGAGCUGCACCUGAAACUACAAGUCUAUAGAGGGAUGGCGGAGAAAAUGGAAUUCCACGUGUAGCGGUGAAAUGCGUAGAUAUGAUGGAGAACACCAGUGGCGAAAGCGGUUUUCUAGCUAUUACCUGACGCUGAGGCGCGAGAGCAUGGGGAGCAAACAGG